rnacentral:SRP_RNA from 1 species
GCCAGGCGCGGUGCUGGGCGCCUGUAAUCCCAACUACUUGGGAGGCUGAGGCAGAAGAAUCGCUUGAGCCUGGGAGGCGGAGGUUGCAGUGAGCCGAGAUCGUGCCACUGCACUCCAGCCUGGGUGACUGAGUGAGAUUCCAUGUCCAAAACAAAACUUUGCACAGAAGCCCUUUUUUUUUUUUUUUUUUUAAGACAGUCUCGCUCUGUCACCCAGGCUGGAGUGCAGUGGCGCUAUCUCAGCUCACUGUGACCUCUGCCUCCUGGGUUCAAGCGAUUCUCCUGCCUU